rnacentral:rRNA from 1 species
UAAUACGUAGGGGGCUAGCGUUAUCCGGAUUUACUGGGCGUAAAGGGUGCGUAGGUGGUUUCUUAAGUCAGGAGUGAAAGGCUACGGCUCAACCGUAGUAAGCUCUUGAAACUGGGAAACUUGAGUGCAGGAGAGGAAAGUGGAAUUCCUAGUGUAGCGGUGAAAUGCGUAGAUAUUAGGAGGAACACCAGUAGCGAAGGCGGCUUUCUGGACUGUAACUGACACUGAGGCACGAAAGCGUGGGGAGCAAACAGG